rnacentral:rRNA from 1 species
GGGUUGUGAGGUUAAGCGACUAAGCGUACACGGUGGAUGCCCUGGCAGUCAGAGGCGAUGAAGGACGUGCUAAUCUGCGAUAAGCGUCGGUAAGGUGAUAUGAACCGUUAUAACCGGCGAUUUCCGAAUGGGGAAACCCAGUGUGUUUCGACACACUAUCAUUAACUGAAUCCAUAGGUUAAUGAGGCGAACCGGGGGAACUGAAACAUCUAAGUACCCCGAGGAAAAGAAAUCAACCGAGAUUCCCCCAGUAGCGGCGAGCGAACGGGGAGGAGCCCAGAGCCUGAAUCAGUGUGUGUGUUAGUGGAAGCGUCUGGAAAGGCGCGCGAUACAGGGUGACAGCCCCGUACACAAAAAUGCACAUGCUGUGAGCUCGAUGAGUAGGGCGGGACACGUGGUAUCCUGUCUGAAUAUGGGGGGACCAUCCUCCAAGGCUAAAUACUCCUGACUGACCGAUAGUGAACCAGUACCGUGAGGGAAAGGCGAAAAGAACCCCGGCGAGGGGAGUGAAAAAGAACCUGAAACCGUGUACGUACAAGCAGUGGGAGCCUCUUAAUGGGGUGACUGCGUACCUUUUGUAUAAUGGGUCAGCGACUUAUAUUCUGUAGCAAGGUUAACCGAAUAGGGGAGCCGAAGGGAAACCGAGUCUUAACUGGGCGUUAAGUUGCAGGGUAUAGACCCGAAACCCGGUGAUCUAGCCAUGGGCAGGUUGAAGGUUGGGUAACACUAACUGGAGGACCGAACCGACUAAUGUUGAAAAAUUAGCGGAUGACUUGUGGCUGGGGGUGAAAGGCCAAUCAAACCGGGAGAUAGCUGGUUCUCCCCGAAAGCUAUUUAGGUAGCGCCUCGUGAAUUCAUCUCCGGGGGUAGAGCACUGUUUCGGCAAGGGGGUCAUCCCGACUUACCAACCCGAUGCAAACUGCGAAUACCGGAGAAUGUUAUCACGGGAGACACACGGCGGGUGCUAACGUCCGUCGUGAAGAGGGAAACAACCCAGACCGCCAGCUAAGGUCCCAAAGUCAUGGUUAAGUGGGAAACGAUGUGGGAAGGCCCAGACAGCCAGGAUGUUGGCUUAGAAGCAGCCAUCAUUUAAAGAAAGCGUAAUAGCUCACUGGUCGAGUCGGCCUGCGCGGAAGAUGUAACGGGGCUAAACCAUGCACCGAAGCUGCGGCAGCGACGUUUAUGCGUUGUUGGGUAGGGGAGCGUUCUGUAAGCCUGCGAAGGUGUACUGUGAGGUAUGCUGGAGGUAUCAGAAGUGCGAAUGCUGACAUAAGUAACGAUAAAGCGGGUGAAAAGCCCGCUCGCCGGAAGACCAAGGGUUCCUGUCCAACGUUAAUCGGGGCAGGGUGAGUCGACCCCUAAGGCGAGGCCGAAAGGCGUAGUCGAUGGGAAACAGGUUAAUAUUCCUGUACUUGGUGUUACUGCGAAGGGGGGACGGAGAAGGCUAUGUUGGCCGGGCGACGGUUGUCCCGGUUUAAGCGUGUAGGCUGGUUUUCCAGGCAAAUCCGGAAAAUCAAGGCUGAGGCGUGAUGACGAGGCACUACGGUGCUGAAGCAACAAAUGCCCUGCUUCCAGGAAAAGCCUCUAAGCAUCAGGUAACAUCAAAUCGUACCCCAAACCGACACAGGUGGUCAGGUAGAGAAUACCAAGGCGCUUGAGAGAACUCGGGUGAAGGAACUAGGCAAAAUGGUGCCGUAACUUCGGGAGAAGGCACGCUGAUAUGUAGGUGAAGUCCCUCGCGGAUGGAGCUGAAAUCAGUCGAAGAUACCAGCUGGCUGCAACUGUUUAUUAAAAACACAGCACUGUGCAAACACGAAAGUGGACGUAUACGGUGUGACGCCUGCCCGGUGCCGGAAGGUUAAUUGAUGGGGUUAGCGGUAACGCGAAGCUCUUGAUCGAAGCCCCGGUAAACGGCGGCCGUAACUAUAACGGUCCUAAGGUAGCGAAAUUCCUUGUCGGGUAAGUUCCGACCUGCACGAAUGGCGUAAUGAUGGCCAGGCUGUCUCCACCCGAGACUCAGUGAAAUUGAACUCGCUGUGAAGAUGCAGUGUACCCGCGGCAAGACGGAAAGACCCCGUGAACCUUUACUAUAGCUUGACACUGAACAUUGAGCCUUGAUGUGUAGGAUAGGUGGGAGGCUUUGAAGUGUGGACGCCAGUCUGCAUGGAGCCGACCUUGAAAUACCACCCUUUAAUGUUUGAUGUUCUAACGUUGGCCCCUUACCGGGGUUGCGGACAGUGUCUGGUGGGUAGUUUGACUGGGGCGGUCUCCUCCUAAAGAGUAACGGAGGAGCACGAAGGUUGGCUAAUCCUGGUCGGACAUCAGGAGGUUAGUGCAAUGGCAUAAGCCAGCUUGACUGCGAGCGUGACGGCGCGAGCAGGUGCGAAAGCAGGUCAUAGUGAUCCGGUGGUUCUGAAUGGAAGGGCCAUCGCUCAACGGAUAAAAGGUACUCCGGGGAUAACAGGCUGAUACCGCCCAAGAGUUCAUAUCGACGGCGGUGUUUGGCACCUCGAUGUCGGCUCAUCACAUCCUGGGGCUGAAGUAGGUCCCAAGGGUAUGGCUGUUCGCCAUUUAAAGUGGUACGCGAGCUGGGUUUAGAACGUCGUGAGACAGUUCGGUCCCUAUCUGCCGUGGGCGCUGGAGAACUGAGGGGGGCUGCUCCUAGUACGAGAGGACCGGAGUGGACGCAUCACUGGUGUUCGGGUUGUCAUGCCAAUGGCA